GCUCAAUUAAACUCCUUUAAAUUUAAUUAGGCAGCUGGGGGCAGUGGCUCAAGCCUAUAAUCCCAGCACUUUGGGAGGCCAAGAUGGGCGGACCACCUGAGGUCAGGAGUUGGAAAGCAGCCUGAUCAACCUGGUGAAACCCUGUCUCUACUAAAAAUACAAAAAUUAGACAGGUGUGGUGGUGGGUGCUUGUAGUCCCAGCUCCUCGGGAGGCUGAGGCAGAAGAAUGGCUUGAACCUAGGAGAGGGAGGUUGCAGUGAGCCAAGAUGGUGCCACUGCACUUUAUCCUGGGAAACAGAGUGAGACUGUCUUAAAAAAAAAAAAAAAUUCGGCUGAAGUUUUUCUUUUAACAGGAUUUAGGCAGCAUACAUGAUGCCAGUCUGCAACUAUACCAGCCAGUGGUCUCUUUUUCAAAAAAAGAAGCUUCGAUACCUCAGAUGGAAACAGACUCAUAGCAAUCAGGGGAAGUUGAGCAGUGUGGCGGUAGUUACAGAAUGGGGAGAGCUGGACAUGAAGGAGACAUAAGCGAAGAGAGGAGAGGACACAGAAGCAGGAAGAAGAAUGUCCUCAAAGAUGAGAUCAAUGUUGGUGACUGCCAUGCAGAAUCGAGCCUUGGCUCUGCCGUGUACCCCUGAGAGGAAAAUCAGUUAUCUUUUCACUCCCAUGUCGUGCUCUGACUAUCUUUAUGGGGACUGAAAUGAGGCACUUUUCAAAAAAGGUAAGGAAUAAUUGGCCCAUGUCUCCUUUCUUGUGCAAUCUUCAUUUAUCUUUGAGAUGUUAUCACACUUGAUAUAUUUGCAUUCCACUUGUCAUAUUAAAGCUUCUUAGUCUCUGAACAUCUAGAUUCAUUGAGAUUUAGGAACCAGGAAAAGAAAAUAUUUAUUCUAAUAUGUUGACAUUUACCACUCUAAUAUUUAUAUUUCAAUAAGAAUAACUU
rnacentral:lncRNA from 1 species